rnacentral:rRNA from 1 species
AGUGAACGCUGGCGGUAGGCCUAACACAUGCCAGUCGAACGGCAGCACAGUAAGAGCUUGCUCUUACGGGUGGCGAGUGGCGGUCGGGUGAGGAAUACAUCGGAAUCUACUUUUUCGUGGGGGAUAACGUAGGGAAACUUACGCUAAUACCGCAUACGACCUACGGGUGAAAGCAGGGGAUCUUCGGACCUUGCGCGAUUGAAUGAGCCGAUGUCGGAUUAGCUAGUUGGCGGGGUAAAGGCCCACCAAGGCGACGAUCCGUAGCUGGUCUGAGAGGAUGAUCAGCCACACUGGAACUGAGACACGGUCCAGACUCCUACGGGAGGCAGCAGUGGGGAAUAUUGGACAAUGGGCGCAAGCCUGAUCCAGCCAUACCGCGUGGGUGAAGAAGGCCUUCGGGUUGUAAAGCCCUUUUGUUGGGAAAGAAAAGCAGCAGGUUAAUACCCCGCUGUUCUGACGGUACCCAAAGAAUAAGCACCGGCUAACUUCGUG